UACGUAGGUGGCUAGCGUUGUCCGGAUUUACUGGGCGUAAAGCGCGUGUAGGCGGCCAUCUAAGUCGGGCGUGAAAUCCCACGGCUCAACCGUGGAAGUGCACUCGAAACUGGAUGGCUAGAGUCCUGGAGAGGAAGGUGGAAUGCUUGGUGUAGAGGUGAAAUUCGUAGAUAUCAAGCGGAACACCGGUGGCGAAGGCGGCCUUCUGGACAGUGACUGACGCUGAGACGCGAAAGCGUGGGGAGCAAACAGG
rnacentral:rRNA from 1 species